rnacentral:rRNA from 1 species
CUACCUCCCGUCGUUGCGUCGUCGUCCCUACCCGACGACGUCCGGCCGCGGUACGACCGAAGAAGGAGGAAGAGGUAGGUACGUUACCUAGUGUUAGUAGGCGGUAGUAAAGUGCGACGAGAGAUAGUGGAGGACACAGUCGGACGACGGUCGUCUCGCGGUCCUUCGUAGACGCUGGAGGNGACGAAGCGGUAGGAGACAACGCGUCGUAGACUACCGUAGGUACGCACGCUAGUAACGGUGGUACGUAGUGGUCGGGCUACUCGUACCGGUUCGCGUCCGUAGUACGACGUAUUUAACCGGACCCUCGGUGGGAGUACGGCCAGAGAACUAACACGAAAGUAUGGGACCGGCCCGCACAAGCGGCGGAGCAUGCGGAUUAAUUCGAUGCAACGCGUAGAACCUUACCUGGGUUUGACAUGGAUCGGGAGUGCUCAGAGAUGGGUGUGCCUCUUUGGGGUCGGUUCACAGGUGGUGCAUGGCUGUCGUCAGCUCGUGUCGUGAGAUGUUGGGUUAAGUCCCGCAACGAGCGCAACCCUUGUUCACUGUUGCCAGCACGUUAUG